GUGACCUUACUUGAACAGAAUCUGUUCUAUAGGCUCGUACCUCUAUAUCUUUGAGUUCUAAGGAGUCAGGAUUUUAAGUCUGGCUGAUGAACCGAGACUGUGUGAUCGGAGCGUUAUUACUGGUCUGGUGUCUCGUCAUUAUGGCCGCCUUUGACCGCAGAGAAUCGUUCCCAGCCAACCUUGCCUGACUGGGGUGGUCAAGCAGUUUUUUGACAGAUU